ensembl:snRNA U6 U6 spliceosomal RNA
GUCCUCGCUUUGGCAGCACAUGUGCUAAAAUUGGAACGACAUUAGCGUGGCCCUUGUGCAAGGAUGACAAGCAAAUGCAAACUCGUGAAGCGUUCCAUGUUUUU